CCUACGGGUGGCAGCAGUAGGGAAUCUUGCUCAAUGGGGGAAACUCUGAUGCAGCAACGCCGCGUGGAGGAUGAAGGUUUUAGGAUCGUAAACUCCUUUUGUGAGAGAAGAUAAUGACGGUAUCUCAUGAAUAAGCACCGGCUAACUCUGUGCCAGCAGCCGCGGUAAUACGGAGGCUGCAAGCGUUACUCGGAUUUACUGGGCGUAAAGAGUGCGCAGGCGGGCUUAUAAGUGAGAUGUGAAAUCCUGUAGCUUAACUACAGAACUGCAUUUGAAACUAUGGGUCUAGAGUGUAGGAGAGGUAAGUGGAACUCUUGGUGUAGCGGUAGAAUGCGUAGAUAUCAGGAGGAAUACUCGUGGCGAAGGCGGCCUACUGGAACAUUACUGACGCUCAGGCACGAAAGCAUGGGGAGCGAACAGGAUUAGAUACCCGGGUAGUC
rnacentral:rRNA from 1 species